rnacentral:rRNA from 1 species
ACAGGCUUAACACAUGCAAGUCGAGGGGCAGCAUGGUCUUAGCUUGCUAAGGCCGAUGGCGACCGGCGCACGGGUGAGUAACACGUAUCCAACCUGCCGUCUACUCUUGGACAGCCUUCUGAAAGGAAGAUUAAUACAAGAUGGCAUCAUGAGUCCGCAUGUUCACAUGAUUAAAGGUAUUCCGGUAGACGAUGGGGAUGCGUUCCAUUAGAUAGUAGGCGGGGUAACGGCCCACCUAGUCUUCGAUGGAUAGGGGUUCUGAGAGGAAGGUCCCCCACAUUGGAACUGAGACACGGUCCAAACUCCUACGGGAGGCAGCAGUGAGGAAUAUUGGUCAAUGGGCGAGAGCCUGAACCAGCCAAGUAGCGUGAAGGAUGACUGCCCUAUGGGUUGUAAACUUCUUUUAUAAAGGAAUAAAGUCGGGUAUGGAUACCCGUUUGCAUGUACUUUAUGAAUAAGGAUCGGCUAACUCCGUGCCAGCAGCCGCGGUAAUACGGAGGAUCCGAGCGUUAUCCGGAUUUAUUGGGUUUAAAGGGAGCGUAGAUGGAUGUUUAAGUCAGUUGUGAAAGUUUGCGGCUCAACCGUAAAAUUGCAGUUGAUACUGGAUAUCUUGAGUGCAGUUGAGGCAGGCGGAAUUCGUGGUGUAGCGGUGAAAUGCUUAGAUAUCACGAAGAAUUCCGAUUGCGAAGGCAGCCUGCUAAGCUGCAACUGACAUUGAGGCUCGAAAGUGUGGGUAUCAAACAGGAUUAGAUACCCUGGUAGUCCACACGGUAAACGAUGAAUACUCGCUGUUUGCGAUAUACAGCAAGCGGCCAAGCGAAAGCGUUAAGUAUUCCACCUGGGGAGUACGCCGGCAACGGUGAAACUCAAAGGAAUUGACGGGGGCCCGCACAAGCGGAGGAACAUGUGGUUUAAUUCGAUGAUACGCGAGGAACCUUACCCGGGCUUAAAUUGCAGAUGAAUUACGGUGAAAGCCGUAAGCCGCAAGGCAUCUGUGAAGGUGCUGCAUGGUUGUCGUCAGCUCGUGCCGUGAGGUGUCGGCUUAAGUGCCAUAACGAGCGCAACCCUUGUUGUCAGUUACUAACAGGUUCCGCUGAGGACUCUGACAAGACUGCCAUCGUAAGAUGUGAGGAAGGUGGGGAUGACGUCAAAUCAGCACGGCCCUUACGUCCGGGGCUACACACGUGUUACAAUGGGGGGUACAGAGGGCCGCUACCACGCGAGUGGAUGCCAAUCCCAAAAACCUCUCUCAGUUCGGACUGGAGUCUGCAACCCGACUCCACGAAGCUGGAUUCGCUAGUAAUCGCGCAUCAGCCACGGCGCGGUGAAUACGUUCCCGGGCCUUGUACACACCGCCCGUCAAGCCAUGGGAGCCGGGGGUACCUGAAGUGCGUAACCGCGAGGAGCGCCCUAGGGUAAAACUGGUGACUGGGGCU